AGAAAUAGCCACAUAUCCCAGUCAUCAAUACUGAGAGACAUGAGCAGGGUUGGGCCUGGUUAGUACUUGGAUGGGAGACCGCCUGGGAGGACCGGGUGCUGUA
rnacentral:rRNA from 1 species